rnacentral:rRNA from 1 species
AGAGUUUGAUCCUGGCUCAGGAUGAACGCUGGCGGUAUGCCUAACACAUGCAAGUCGUACGAGAGUUUUUAACUCUAGUGGCGGACGGGUGAGUAACACGUGAGAAUUUGCCUUUAGGAGGGGGAUAACAAUUGGAAACGAAUGCUAAUACCCCAUAUGCUUUCGAGUGAAAUGAAUUUUUUAUUUGCCUAAAGAGAAGCUCGCGGCUGAUUAGCUUGUUGGUAAGGUAAGAGCUUACCAAGGCGACGAUCAGUAUCUGGUUUGAGAGGACGAUCAGACACACUGGAACUGAGACACGGUCCAGACUCCUACGGGAGGCAGCAGUGGGGAAUUUUCCGCAAUGGGCGAAAGCCUGACGGAGCAAUACCGCGUGAGGGAAGAAUGCCUAUGGGUUGUAAACCUCUUUUUUCAGGGAGGAAUAAAUGACGUGUACCUGAAGAAUAAGCAUCGGCUAACUCCGUGCCAGCAGCCGCGGUAAGACGGAGGAUGCAAGUGUUAUCCGGAAUCACUGGGCGUAAAGCGUCUGUAGGUGGUUUAAUAAGUCAACUGUUAAAUCUUGAGGCUCAACUUCAAAAUCGCAGCUGAAACUAUUAGACUAGAGUAUAGUAGAGGUAAAGGGAAUUUCCAGCGUAGCGGUGAAAUGCGUAGA